GUGGGGAAUAUUGGACAAUGGGCGAAAGCCUGAUCCAGCCAUGCCGCGUGUGUGAAGAAGGUCUUCGGAUUGUAAAGCACUUUAAGUUGGGAGGAAGGGCAGUAAGUUAAUACCUUGCUGUUUUGACGUUACCGACAGAAUAAGCACCGGCUAACUUCGUGCCAGCAGCCGCGGUAAUACGAAGGGUGCAAGCGUUAAUCGGAAUUACUGUGCGUAAAGCGCGCGUAGGUGGUUUUGUAAGUUGGAGGUGAAAUCCCCGGGCUCAACCUGGGAACUGCCUCCAAAACUGCAUGACUAGAGUACGGUAGAGGGUAGUGGAAUUUCCUGUGUAGCGGUGAAAUGCGUAGAUAUAGGAAGGAACACCAGUGGCGAAGGCGACUACCUGGACUGAUACUGACACUGAGGUGCGAAAGCGUGGGGAGCAAACAGGAUUAGAAACCCCGGUAGUCC
rnacentral:rRNA from 1 species